UACGAAGGGGGCUAGCGUUGUUCGGAAUUACUGGGCGUAAAGCGCGCGCAGGCGGUCUUCCAAGUCAGUGGUGAAAGCCCGGAGCUCAACUCCGGAACUGCCAUUGAAACUGUAAGACUUGAGGAUGAGAGAGGUGAGUGGAAUUCCCAGUGUAGAGGUGAAAUUCGUAGAUAUUGGGAGGAACACCAGUGGCGAAGGCGGCUCGCUGGACCGGUUCUGACGCUGAGGCGCGAAAGCGUGGGGAGCAAACGGG
rnacentral:rRNA from 1 species